UCUCCUGCUGUCUUUGUUCCAUUGAAGUUAAACACUUUGAGAUAAGCAAGCAAUUGUUCUCUGCCAAGCUUCGUAACCAGCUGCAGGUGCCCAUGUGGAUGCAUUGCCAUGUCUCAAGAAAUCAGUAUGGUACAGUUUUUGUCUAUUGCACAGAAUGAAAGGCAUAGAAAAUGAACUGGAAGAAAAAGUAUCAAACUUUAAAGGUACAAUAAGUUCUGCUAUCCUCCUCUUCUAGCCGAGUUGCAGGAAAUAAAG